rnacentral:rRNA from 1 species
AACGAACGCUGGCGGCAUGCCUAACACAUGCAAGUCGAACGAUGCCUUCGGGCAUAGUGGCGCACGGGUGCGUAACGCGUGGGAAUCUGCCCUUGGGUUCGGAAUAACAGUUGGAAACGACUGCUAAUACCGGAUGAUGACGUAAGUCCAAAGAUUUAUCGCCCGAGGAUGAGCCCGCGUCGGAUUAGCUAGUUGGUGGGGUAAAGGCCGACCAAGGCGACGAUCCGUAGCUGGUCUGAGAGGAUGAUCAGCCACACUGGGACUGAGACACGGCCCAGACUCCUACGGGAGGCAGCAGUGGGGAAUAUUGGACAAGGGGCGCAAGCCUGAUCCAGCAAUGCCGCGUGAGUGAUGAAGGCCUUAGGGUUGUAAAGCUCUUUUACCCGGGAAGAUAAUGACUGUACCGGGAGAAUAAGCCCCGGCUAACUCCGUGCCAGCAGCCGCCGUAA